UACGUAGGGUGCAAGCGUUGUCCGGAAUUAUUGGGCGUAAAGAGCUCGUAGGCGGUUUGUUGCGUCGGCUGUGAAAACCUGGGGCUCAACCCCGGGCCUGCAGCCGAUACGGGCAAACUAGAAUUCGGUAGGGGAGACUGGAAUUCCUGGUGUAGCGGUGAAAUGCGCAGAUAUCAGGAGGAACACCGGUGGCGAAGGCGGGUCUCUGGGCCGAUAUUGACGCUGAGGAGCGAAAGCGUGGGGAGCGAACAGG
rnacentral:rRNA from 1 species